rnacentral:rRNA from 1 species
UCCACGCUGUAAACGAUGAGUGCUAGGUGUCGGCCUGUAGAGGGUCGGUGCCGAAGUUAACACAUUAAGCACUCCACCUGGGGAGUACGAUCGCAAGAUUGAAACUCAAAGGAAUUGACGGGGGCCCGCACAAGCGGUGGAGCAUGUGGUUUAAUUCGAAGCAACGCGAAGAACCUUACCAGGUCUUGACAUCCCAUUGACAGGGACUUAACCGUCCUUUACCUUCGGGACAAUGGAGACAGGUGGUGCAUGGUUGUCGUCAGCUCGUGUCGUGAGAUGUUGGGUUAAGUCCCGCAACGAGCGCAACCCUUAUCUUUAGUAGCCAGCACGUAAUGGUGGGGACUCUAGAGAGACUGCCGGGGACAACUCGGAGGAAGGUGGGGAUGACGUCAAAUCAUCAUGCCCCUUAUGAUCUGGGCCACACACGUGCUACAAUGGCGGUUACAAAGGGAAGCGAAGGAGUGAUCUGGAGCAAACCCCAAAAAAACCGUCCCAGUUCGGAUUGUAGUCUGCAACUCGACUACAUGAAGUUGGAAUCGCUAGUAAUCGCGGAUCAGAAUGUCGCGGUGAAUACGUUCCCGGGCCUUGUACACACCGCCCGUCACACCAUGGAAGUCGGAAGCGCCCGAAGCCGGUGACCAAACCGUAAGGAUGGAGCCGUCGAAGGUGAAAUCGAUGACUAGGGUGAAGUCGUAACAAGGUAGCCGUA